GCCCUUUAAAAUACGUCUCUUGAGCUUGGAAGGUGAUAUUUCACCUCGCUGCAGUGCUCCUGCUUGUCCCUCGUUGGCCAAACAUGGCCCAGCAGCCGCUCAUUCUGUGAAAUGCUAUCUGCAGGCCGACCUCCCCUCGGAGCCCCGUGUGUGGGAGCCGCCAUCCGCCAUGCAAUUGUGCUGAUGGAGCAGCAAAGGGAGCAGAUCGCAGCCCCAGCGGUCGCUGCCCCGCUGUCCUGGACCUGCAGGGGCACGGGGGCCUUCUAAGGCUGCGCCAAGAUGCCUUCCAUCAAAACCAUUGUGUCCUGCCUCCUUACCCCUUCCUGAGAAGGGAAAUACCACUGGGCAUGGAAACACACGCAUGCAAAUAAAUCCUUGCCUGAAAGCUACGCUAGCGAAUGCGCAGUGCGCUGCUGGUCAUAAAGUUGCUUUGGACAGGGAAUAGGGGUGUGUAGAAACCCCCCUGGAUCUGCACCUCCUGUCACAAACAUCAAUCUUGCCUACACAAAAACAGCAUCCUGAGCCACGGGAGGGCGUUUGCAUUGGAUCUGAGCGAGGCAGCAGAGUUUGUGCCGCCGGAGCCACAGCGCGCUGCUUCCACUGGAGUGGCCUCACUCUUUUCUUGUGCAGAGGCUCAGAGCGCAGCCCGCUGCGCUGCGGGGUCACAACGCGGGGCCGUGGUACCGUCCCCUUUGCACCCCGACAACGCGCAGAAUUAAAUCACGAGCCCGCUUUUGCUUCUCCGAAAGCCGAAUGGGUGCAGCGACGUGAGGGGCUGCAGCAUCACAGCCGCCCCGGUGCCACCUCCGCCGCCGCGCCGUCACCGCAGCCUCAAGGUGAGACGCGGCCCCUUCCGCAGUUUCCCCGCGGCGGUUCGUAGGUUAGCCUUCAGACCUCAAUAAAUCUCUUUGUAAGACUCGUGUUUUCAGCUUCCUAAAGACACGCCGAGCCCCAAGUCCUGAGCCUCCUGAGCGCUGUACUCACGCAAGGGAAUAUCUCAUUAUUUGGCCGUGUAGCUGGAUUCAGCCGCACACCCUCCGCACCCCCUCCCCUCUUCAUCUCUGCUCCACUUUUAUCAGCAUUGCGUCUGUCCGAGGAAGUGAAUCCAUAGACAGCUCCAUCCUCCAUCCCUGCAGUGGCUGACGUGGGACGCACCACCUUGUCUGCGACAGAGAUGCCGGUAGCAGAGCGUUUUCCUUGUUUAGGAGAGGGGCAAGAACACCCCUACUGCACCUUGCGGGAUUGCUUGGUUUCACGCUCGCCUGUGAAAAGCAGGCGCCUUUAGGGAGGGCUCCUGGGGGAAGAGGGACGAGGAAAGGGAAGAAGCACCGGAGGACACUGCGUGGCGGUGAGGAAGGGAGCUGCCCAGCUCUCGAGGCUGUUCUGCAGCAGACGCGUCGCACGAACGAGCAGUUGGGAACGGGUGUUGCCUGCAGCCCUGGGAAGAGGCAGCAGUGAGGAAGCACGCGAUGCCCAUACGGCUACAUCCAGCGGUGCGGCAAUCCGCUCCUCCUGCGGACCUGAUCCUGAGCGUUGCUCCAGCAAGGCCAGGUAUCGUGUAACUGCAGACACGCUUGGGGCGAGUGGCUGUGAGGCACGGGCAGCCCCAAACUCACCAGGAGGGCUCUUGAGGCACAGAGGUGUGUAAGAGAAGCUGGAUUUUCCCCAUUCCCUUUCCCAGUAGAUCAGCGCAAGCAGCAAGGUGUUGGAGACCUGCUUGCUCUCACGUCCGUCAAGCACUGCAAGGCUGCAGGACACAUUUUUGACCUCAUUUGCCCCCACCAUAAAUCAGGGGCUAAGUGGUGAUGUGCUCACUGCUGGGGUCGGGACAUCUGCACCACCCUGGCCUCUCUGGUGCACACUGGGGGGCAGAUUGCCAGUCAAGGGGCUAUUCUGCUCUUGAAAUGCCUGGUUCUUUGCAAAAUAGGUAUAGAGGGAUAAGGAGCCAAGUUCAGGGAGCCAGGCCCCUCUAAACCAAAAACGGCCUCAGGGACAGAAGGGAGCAAGCCACGAGGCAAUCUGCAGUGCAGCAGGAAAGCUGCUGGCUCCCUCCAGGGGCCACCAAGAAGCCAAGGACAGCUCUGCAAGAUGCAGGUAAUGGGGAGCUGCCAGGGCCAAUCUGCACUGGGCCUGGUUCCCGACACUGGGGUGUGAAGGGGAUCAUGGAUCGAGACCCACUGUGUCAAGACGGUGCCAGCCAGCUCCUGCUCCUGGACCAGAAUCCUGUCCAGGUUUGCAGAGGAGGGAGCGCAUGGACUCUGCAGCACAAGGGACUACUAUGAUGCACAAACACUCCCUCCUCUCCCGAGAUUCCUAUGGUCCCCCUUCCAAGACAAGAGGGAAAUCAAAGAGGUCAGGUGUCUCAGACUAAACCUUCUUUCUCACACACAAAGUGCCCUCGAACGCAAGCACGCACAUUUCUCCAGUGUCCCCAGGCUGCAGCUGGGGCUCUGUAGGAUUGCCCUGAGCGCACUCCCCACUGCAGCGUGGCUACACAGCCGUGAGCCCAGAGUCUGCUGUGCUGCAUUGAGCUUGUCACGAUUGCAUACAUUCUGCAGUCACAAGAGAUGAGAGCACAAGGCAGCGAGUCAGAUCAGCUGCAGCUGGGGGAGGGAGAAGCAGGAAAGGCUGGGGACAAGCAGCCAUGGUCUCGCUUUGCACGUCUCCUUCUCGUAUACCGACCCCUGCUUGUUUAGGUAAGCCAGGACCCAAAUGCCAGAUGACGGCCAAUGUACGUCCAUAAAAAAAUACCCCUCUCUCAUCCACCGUGCUUUGUGCUCAGCAAUGGGAUCCCACGUGCUCAGGGAUGCAGUCCCACCUCUGUGCCAAAGGCAGCCCAUGAGACCUGGCUGCCUGCCAUCCUGCAGUGGCCCCCAGAUGGGGUCUCACUGUGCCCGGGUUCAGCUGGGGGCAGCUCCCCGGGCCAUACACCCUGCAGCCCCAGAGCUGCACUGUCAGCCACAGCCCUGACAUCCUGCCACAGAGCCACCUCCAGCACCGGGCACAUAUUCAGAAGGAGGAUUUAUCCAAGAGCAGAUGCACUCCUGGGCCACUCGUGGCUUUAGUGGAGCCAAGUCCUGUUUUCUGAUGGAAAAACCCCGGGAAAUAGGAACUGCGCUUUGUAACAGAGGGGUUGGGUAAGGCCAUUCUAUGACUAAGUCACCACAAAGGGCAAAUUGCCACUUUAUUUUCUCUGUGGGGUUGCCCCACACUCAGGAGAGCUACACAAUUUCCCUCACAAGGGGAAAGCACAGCAGGAUCCAAGCUGAGGGCAAGGAGGAAGGUUGGCCUUCACCCCCCCCCCCCCCCCAAGCACCCCUUCCUCGCAGUACACAAAGCACCGGUUCCCAUCCCUCAUUCACAGGCCAGCUGGCCAGGGAGCAGCUUUACGUAUGACUGCUUCAUCCUAUACAAAUCCUGCCAUCAGUCAUUAAAGACAGAUUAAAACAAAAAAAAAAAAUACAUGUCUGUGCUCUCGAAUCACCACGUAGCAGAUGGAGCUGUCCUGCAUCCCCCUGCAUGUGCCAGGAGGGCCCCGGGUUUGGGAUAUGCUGAGAAAUACACGGACGGGUUGCAGAUGGGAUAAGGAGAAACAAAUGUGGGCAGAUGAGUGAUAUCAAAGGGUGAACUUAAAAAGAAAGAGGUUAAGGGAAAGAUGUUAACAGUCAAGUGCUUAAGAAGCUGCAGUAAGGGGAGGGGACGAUGUGCCUUCCUAUAGCGAUAUAGGUAGGAACGGGCUGAACCUGAAGCAGAAAUCAUUCGGGUAGUAGGAAAAGAGCUUUGCAGUGGAAAGGAUGCAGAAGCACUGGAGCAGCCUGGGAAGGAGGAGAAAUUCCCAUCUGGGGGAGGUACGGGGGAAGGGCCUGGCAGCACUCCCUGUGCAGUGCUGGUCUCAGCAGUCCUAUGCAGGCAUCCCCAGCACACAAAGUGACUGCUCCACUGGCAUCACGCACCCAUCUGCCCCAGAACUGAAUAUCUCCCUCCUGCCAACCCCCUCCCCUCCCAUCCAUCUUUACCUUCUUUCCCGGAGCCGAAGUGUUUCUGUGUCACCACAGAGACCUGGAAAGGGAUGGCAGAAGGCAGUGCCUGUAAAAGCCCAGGGCUGCUGUCCUGCUUUGAGAACAGGGCAGAGGCAUCCCGACAGCAGCGAUCGAAUUCAAGGUGUCAUUGUCCUUUUCUUCCAGAAAGGUAAGAGCUUUCCAGAAAGACUCACAGCUCCAGGCUGCUGCGCCAGGUGUACAAUAAGAUCAAGCCCACAGAAUCAAUCCAGUUUGGGGUUAUUCCCUCACCCAAUUUGUCCCACGCCAGCUCAAAACCGACCGAUUAAGCUCUAAUACCCCCAGGUGAUGUAUCCCAAAUGCCAUCCCGGAGGGACCGCUGUUUUCUCUGCUCUCCUAAUAGGCCCCUUUCUGUGAGCAGCACACCUUGUUGGGUGCGUUUGCAGAAAUAGGAAAUCAGAGGUAACCCGAUGUGUACAGGAGGGCAUCGGCUGUAAGGCAGGUACACAUAUGGCCGUGUCUUGAAGAUGACAUGCGCAGGGGACCUGCAGAAUCAGAGAAGCAUUCAGAGAAGUUGCUCAAGGAUCCUGCCCUCCAUCUGCCCCUCUCUCCGGAGGGGUUUUGGGGUUGUCAGGAACAUUCACCUCACCUGCAGCACAGCUUUCCCAGCCCGGGCUGUGUGCUCUGAGCCUAAGCUAAGGGGCUCUGUCCAUGGGGACGGCCUCUCCACUGCACAGUCCGUGCUGCAGAGCGGCUCUCCCCAUCACACAAUGGCUGCAGGGCCAUUACAGCACAAGGAUCACCUUCAGGAGGUGUUCUCGUAGCCCUGCAGGUAACUCCACCGGCAGCUGCUUGAGCAGGCAGCACCUUCUUAAAUUCCUAUCGCCCUUCUCACAAAGGAAGAGCCGAGACAAAACCGGUUCCUGCUUAAGCGGAGGAAACAAUAGCGGGACAAAGCCACACUCCGUGCUGCAAAGGCGCGGGUGGCCGCAGGAUGGCACUCCUGCCGCUUGUCCUUGAGGGACGGGAGAGCUGUGCCGGG
rnacentral:lncRNA from 1 species